GUACUGCUGAAGAGUCCCACACUAGGACAAAACAGCUGUCCAGUAC
rfam:Trichobilharzia regenti genome assembly, scaffold: TRE_scaffold0007026